UACGGGGGGGGCAAGCGUUGUUCGGAAUUACUGGGCGUAAAGGGCUCGUAGGCGGCCAACUAAGUCAGACGUGAAAUCCCCAGGCUCAACCUGGGAACUGCGUCUGAUACUGGAUGGCUUGAAUCCGGGAGAGGGAUGCAGAAUUCCAGGUGUAGCAGUGAAAUGCGUAGAGAUCAUGAGGAAGACCAGUGGCGAAGGCGGGUCUCUGGACAGUUCCUGACACUGAGGCACGAAGGCCAGGGGAGCAAACGGG
rnacentral:rRNA from 1 species